rnacentral:lncRNA from 1 species
GCACCUGUUGCUGAUCCCUCCGUCCCUGCUUCCACAUGGCUCCUCCAGCAGAUUUACUGGCUGAAUCAGGUUCGUCGGUGCAGUGCCAGUAGCUACCUCCAUCACUGAAACACACUACUUUCCGCCAAAGUGCAUUCUCUUCCCUUGCUAUAUUUCCAUAGUCAUUUCAUCAAUAAGCUAUUGUAGUGCCAUGUUAAAUAAUCCACUCUUUUUAGGCCUCAAUUAGCAACAAGCUAACACUGUCCUACAAAAGAAUGUGGCAACAACAACGUAAUCAAUGGGUGGAAACUAACAACCAACCUUUUGUAACAGCUGGACGGCUUCCUGCUGGCUUGUCCCUUCGCCAGCUCACCUUUGGCUCAAUCUGUUGUUGACAAUGAAAUAACUGAGGUGCAUGAACUGGGAUCAUCUGUUCUUUGCAAGGCACAAGGAUUUUAC